GUGCUCACUUUGACAGCACAUACACUAACUUUAGAAGGAAACAGAAGUUUCCCAUGACCCCUACACAGGGCUGGAACACAAAUCCAUGCAGCAUUCAAUUUACAU
rnacentral:snRNA from 1 species